rnacentral:rRNA from 1 species
UACGUAGGGACCGAGCGUUGUCCGGAAUCAUUGGGCGUAAAGAGCGUGUAGGCGGCUAUUUAAGUCCUGCGUGAAAUCCUGCGGCUCAACCGCAGACGGUCGUGGGAAACUGGAUGGCUAGAGUGCGGGAGAGGAGAGUGGAAUUCCCGGUGUAGCGGUGAAAUGCGCAGAUAUCGGGAAGAACACCCGUGGCUAAGGCGGCUCUCUAGUACGUGACUGACGCUGAGACGCGAAAGCGUGGGGAGCGAACAGG